GAUGAACGCUGGCGGCGUGCCUAAUACAUGCAAGUCGAGCGAACAGAUGAGGAGCUUGCUCCUCUGACGUUAGCGGCGCAGGGGUGAGUAACAUGUGGAUAACCUACCUAUAUGACUGGGAUAACUUCGGGAAACCGGAGCUUAUACCGGAUAAUAUAUUGAACCGCAUGGUUCAAUAGUGAAAGACGGCUUUGCUUUAACUUAUAGCUGGAUCCGCGCGGCAUUAGCUAGUUGGUAGGGUAACGGCUUACCGAGGCAACGAUGCGUAGCCGACCUGAGAGGGUGAUCGGCCACACUGGAACUGAGACACGGUCCAGACUCCUACGGGAGGCAGCAGUAGGGAAUAUUGCGCAAUGGGCGAAAGCUUGACGGAGCAACGCCGCGUGAGUGAUGAAGGUCUUCGGAUCGUAAAACUCUGUUAUUAGUGAAGAACAAAUGUGUAAGUAAAUAUGCACGUCUUGACGGUACCUAAUCAGAAAGCCACGGCUAACUACGUG
rnacentral:rRNA from 1 species